UACCCGCCCCCCGAGUGGUUGGGACUAUUACUGGGCUUAAAGCGCCCGUAGCCGGCCGGGUGUGUCCUCCGUUAAAUCCACGGGCCUAACCCAUGGGCUGCGGAGGAUACUACCCGGCUUGGGGAUGGGAGAGGGCGGCGGUAUUCCCGGGGUAGGGGUAAAAUCCACUGAUCCCGGGAGGACCACCAGUGGCGAAGGCGGCCGCCCAGAACACGCCCGACGGUGAGGGGCGAAAGCUGGGGGAGCAAACGGG
rnacentral:rRNA from 1 species